GCCCCGGUGCCCCAGAGUGCCCGCUUUUCAACCGCCCGUCCGCCGGGACCGCGUCCCGCCUCCCACUCCAGGCUUCCGCUCUCAGGAAGGGGGCGCCGCUCGGCAAGCGCCAGGCAGAGUUUUAUGUUCUGAUUUCUGUCCACUGAUAUGGUUCAGCUUGUUGUUGACUAUAGGAAACUGUUAAGAAGAAUCAAGUGAAACCAUGAUAGUUGAGGUUUCUCAUCGGUCAGUACCAUGGAGGUUGACAGUCUGAUAGCCCCCUACACAUCAAAGCAUGUCUACUCAUCCGUGUGCUGUUGUCAAUCCGAGGUUUCCAAAUAUGUGUUCUCCAACUCAAAGAAAAGUAGCUGGAUCCAGGCAUCUCCAGAGAAAGCUGCUUCAGCAUUUUUCUUGCUUUUUGUUUUUGGAAUACCUCUUUCUACAGGAGUCUCCAGACUCUAAAGUAAUAGAAUAGUUCCUAAGUCCAUCCAGCUCUUUCCCAUGUCUGAAUUCUUGAUCCUCUUUCCCACCCCCUGGCUCACAGAUAAAAAAGAAACAACAGUAAAGGAAUAAAAAUUGUUCGUUUCUGUGUGACUGAA